AAAAAAAGGUAAAAGAAUGCAGCUGAAGGGCUCGAAUCAAGUUUUUUUUCUCCUUAUUUAUUAGUUGCCAGGAACAGUGGCACCACUUCACGCUCGAUUGCCAACCCUCGUCGAAGCCUGCAGUCAUCUUCCUGUGUUGACCCGAUGCCCAUUUUGGCCAGAUGAAUCUGUAUGGCUUCACUUCUUGGGUGCCUGAAGAUGGCAUCUCUGCAGGCAGCCGCCUCUCCUCGUCGCCGCCGGCCGAGGGUCCAGGCCGCCGCCUCUCCUCGUCGCCGCCGGCCGAGGGUCCAGGCCGCCGCCUCUCCUCGCCGCCGCCGACCGCCCCCCCCCCCCCCCUCGUGCAUUCCCUUGCAGGCCGCCAACUGUCCUCGUCGCCGCCGGUGGGUCAGGCGGCUGCUGCCGGAGCAGACGGGCGUACGGGAGGGACGACCACUUCCCAGGCGCGUUGGCGUGCUCGGCCGGCGGAUCUGCGCGCGGUGGUGCGCUGGGGCCAGGACCUGCGUGGAGGUCGCGAGACGGAUCAGGACCCUUGCCUCCGUCACCUUCCCCUUCACUUCAAUAUGCCGAGGACAAAGAGCCACUGAUUCAGGCAUUCAGCUGGUAGUAACCGGGUCCUGAAUGGAGGCGAACAGGUACGUUAGCCUGGAGGAAAUUGAGGAAUAUACUAUGUGGCAAAUCAGACCUUCAAUACAGUGGAAGAUUUCUUCGAGUUUUACAACGCUUAUGCAUUCCACAAAGAUUUAGAGUCAGGAAGGACAGGGUCAGAUAUAAGCCUAGCACCAAGGAGGGGACAUGGAGGAGAUUUGUGUGCUCAUUUGAAGUAUACAGAUCGGAGAAGCAUUUGUUUUUGUUUCUGUUGUCAUAAGCCUAGCACCAAGCUCAGACUGCCCCACUGUAAUCCAUGUUUUUGUUUCUGUUGUCAUACAAUUAGCUACAGUAACAUGUAUUGCUGAAAUGCUCUGAUGCUUAGAUUCCUUUUGGCCCCAAAUGCUGCUUCGUGAUUCAUGAAGCCAUGGCCUUGGUUGUAAAAGAUAGAGGAUUCCCUGCAAAUCACUAUAAAGUCCACUUGGACGCAUUUGGUUCAUCUAAGCACAGGAGAUUGUGGCUUAAA